rnacentral:lncRNA from 1 species
AUUGGUUACAUGUCUUAUUCUCUUUUGUUGGCUUUUGCCAAUUGAAUAAGCUUCAAGAGUUAGAUCUUUCUUACAACUUAUUCCAAGGGAUCCUUCCUCCAUGUUUGAAUAAUUUGACAUCUUUGAGGUUAUUGGAUCUCUCUUCCAACCUAUUCUCCGGAAAUCUUUCUUCCCCUCUGUUACCUAAUCUCACAUCCCUGGAGUACAUCGAUCUCAGUUACAAUCAUUUUGAGGGUUCAUUCUCUUUCAGCUCUUUUGCUAAUCACUCCAACUUUCAAGUGGUCAAACUUGGAAGGAAUAACAACAAAUUUGAGGUAGAAACUGAAUAUCCAGUUGGUUGGGUUCCCCUAUUUCAGUUGAAAGCUCUUAUGCUAUCCAACUGUAAGCUCAUCGGUGACCUUCCUGGUUUUCUUUGACACCAAUUAAGAUUAACCGUGGUUGAUCUCUCCCAUAAUAACUUGACUGGAAGUUUCCCCAUUUGGCUGCUUGAAAACAAUACAAAAGUAGGAUCUCUAGUUCUGAGGAAUAACUCUUUAAUGGGUCAACUACUUCCCCUGAGACCUAAUAGUCGUAUCACUUUAUUGGAUAUCUCAGACAACCGACUUGAUGGGGAACUUCAACAAAAUGUGGCCAAUAUGAUUCCAAAUAUUGAGUUUCUAAAUUUAUCCAACAAUCCUCCCCUUCAUUUCAUCCAUAUUUGGAUCUACCUUUAAAUCUCUAUUGCAUACAACCCAUAUAUGAUUCCCUCUAAAUUUAGCCUUCAUUUCUUGUUAAGAGGUUUUAAAAGCCAGCAAUUUAAUUUACUUUCAUCCUCUAGAUAGAUGAGAACUCUUAUAUUUAUCCAAUGAUAGGUAACAUUUUUGCAAAUGCUUUUAUUUGAUUUUUUUAAUUGGUCUUAAAAAUAAGUGUUAAUAAAGAUCCACAAUAUAAAAUAAUAAAUUAUAUCUCAAUUGACCUCAAGAUACUAUUUACUUCUACUAACUCAUUUUACAUCUCAAUUGUUCUUAAAAAGUCUAUAAUGGUAAUUAACUAUAGAAUUCAAGUUUUAAUUAUGCAAAAAAUAUAUAAAGGUUUUUAAAAUUAAUAGAAAAAGAGAUUCUGAUAAAUAAUAAGUCAUUGGAACAUUUACUUCUAGAAGUAGAGAAAGAUGGAGGAUCAUAAAAGUUGAAAAAAGAAUAAUUUGGAAGUCAUAAAAUUUUGGAAAAAGAAUAAUACAUAGAGACCUCAUUAACAAGAAGUAACAACUAAUUGUAAGUAACCAUGAAAAAAGUAAGGAGAAAAAUAAAGGAAAAUCAAGGAAAGUGGAAAAUUUUUUCAUCCCCAUAAAAAAUGCUAAGGAAGAAAAAGGUGAAGAAAGUUUAAAGAAAGUAUAUUUUUCAAAAAUUGAAUUUUCUUUCCCUUAAAGUUGGUAUUGACAACCAAACAAGAAAAUGAUUUUUAAAUUCUUUUUUGACCUUUUUCUAUCAUUCUUUUUUUUUUUUUCCUUACUCUAUUUCCUUUCCCUCAAACUUUGUAGGCAGUAAACAUUACCUAAGAUAAAUAGGGAAGAAAAUAUUUUAUCAUUUAUUUAUUUAGUAUUUUUCUUACCUUUUUUUGUAUUUUAUCCAAAUAUAAGAAAACUAUUUUUCUUUAUUUUUUUCUUUUCCUUGUUGCUUUUCAAGAAUCAAGCAUACUUUAAACUCUAAUUAAGAGUUUUAUCUCUAGACUAUAAUACUAAAUCACUUAAAAAAAACUCCUAACAUCGUUUAUGUUCAUCUUUCUUUUUAAGGAUUUGAAAAACCCAAUAAUUUGGAGAAAACUGAUUCUAGGAAGAAUAAUUUUUAGAAUAAAAGAUUAUUAUUUAAGAAGAUCAUAAAUAUUAUAGUCAUUGUUGAAUAUGAUAAAUGAUUAAAAAAAAAAAGGUAAUUGGAAAUUUAGAUACUUUUAUAAGACAAAUGCAUUUUUCUAGUAUGGUAUGAAAAAAGGUAAAAUGAUAGGCUUUGAUCUUUUUUUAAGGUAGUUUGUUUAAAUCAUUUUAAUUUAUUUUGAUUUAAGAACAAUAACUUUUAUUACACUAGUUAUUUUGAUUUUCUUUUGAUAGAUUUUGCAAGCUUAAGCAAUUUGGAGCUAUUGGAUUUGAGUCAUAAUUCAUUUAGUGGGAUCCUUCCAUCGUCUAUAAGAUUGUUGUCUUCUCUCAAGUCUUUAUAUCUGGCUGGAAAUCACCUCAAUGGUUCCUUACCAAAUCAAGGUACAUAUAUUGUGAUUACAGGUUUUUUUGUUUUCUUUUUUAAUAUCUUGUUUGUUCUUUAUGCCAAUUAAGUCAUACAUGUCUAUUAAUUUUUGGUAUGCAAUGAAAAACUUUAUUUUUAAUUCAUAAAGACCUCAUCAACCGUAAGUAACAACUAGUUGUAUGUUUGGGGGCAUUGACAAGACGAGGAGAUGAUUGGUUACAUGUUUUAUCCUCUUUUGUAGGCUUCUGCCAAUUCAAUAAGUUUCAAGAGUUAGAUCUUUCUUACAACUUAUUCCAAGGGAUCCUUCCUCCAUGUUUGAAUAAUUUGACAUCUCUGAGGUUAUUGGAUCUCUCUUCCAACCUAUUCUCCGGAAAUCUUUCUUCCCCUUUGUUACCUAAUCUCACAUCCCUGGAGUACAUCGAUCUCAGUUACAAUCAGUUUGAGGGUUCAUUCUCUUUCAGCUCUUUUGCUAAUCACUCCAAGCUUCAAGUGGUCAUACUUGGAAGGGAUAACAACAAAUUUGAGGUACAAACCGAAUAUCCAGUUGGUUGGGUUCCCCUGUUUCUGUUGAAAGCUCUUGUCCUAUCCAACUGUAA